rnacentral:tRNA from 2 species
CAGUUCGUUGGUCAGGUUGACGUUGGACUCUUCCAGGGAGUUGGAAACGAUCGAACCCAGGGUGCCAGUCUCCGGCGCAUCGU